rnacentral:rRNA from 1 species
UAGGGAAUCUUCGGCAAUGGACGAAAGUCUGACCGAGCAACGCCGCGUGAGUGAAGAAGGUUUUCGGAUCGUAAAACUCUGUUGUUAGAGAAGAACAAGGACGUUAGUAACUGAACGUCCCCUGACGGUAUCUAACCAGAAAGCCACGGCUAACUACGUGCCAGCAGCCGCGGUAAUACGUAGGUGGCAAGCGUUGUCCGGAUUUAUUGGGCGUAAAGCGAGCGCAGGCGGUUUCUUAAGUCUGAUGUGAAAGCCCCCGGCUCAACCGGGGAGGGUCAUUGGAAACGGGGAGACUUGAGUGCAGAAGGGGAGGGUGGAAUUCCAUGUGUAGCGGUGAAAUGCGUAGAAAUAUGGAGGAACACCAGUGGCGAAGGCGGCUCUCUGGUCUGUAACUGACGCUGAGGCUCGAAAGCGUGGGGAGCAAACAGG